rnacentral:rRNA from 1 species
AGGAUCCGAGCGUUAUCCGGAUUUAUUGGGUUUAAAGGGAGCGUAGGUGGAAGAUUAAGUCAGCCUGUGAAAGUUUGCGGCUCAACCGUAAAAUUGCAGUUGAUACUGGUUUUCUUGAGUGCAGUAGAGGUGGGCGGAAUUCGUGGUGUAGCGGUGAAAUGCUUAGAUAUCACGAAGAACUCCGAUUGCGAAGGCAGCUUGCUAAAGUGUAACUGACGUUCAUGCUCGAAAGUGUGGGUAUCAAA